UCCGAUCUGUUCCCUACCUCUCCCUUUUAUCGAGUGGUGCGGUUCUUCCUCUACGUGGCUCCUCAGGCUUGGACAUGGAAUUCAUCCCGCGUGUUUUCUCCCUACGGCGGUUCUUCUUACUCUCGUCCCCAAAUUCGACUCAAAGAAGGUACAAUGAUGGGUAAAAAAAUUUUGGGUUUGUUGUUAUGUUGAAAUGCUUGCGCACAAAAUGAAGGUACAAUCAUGGGUAAAAAAAUUUUGGGUUUGUUGUUAUGUUGAAAUGCUUGCGCACAAAAUUUCGGAUAGGAUUUUCUGAAUGAAGUUCAGCGGUCGAAUCCGAAUAACAAGGAAAAUUUUCGGGGUUUCCUUUCCCUCUAUCGUCCAGAAUCUCAUUGUCUCCGGCUUCUCUGUCCAGAAGCUGCCCAAGUCCACCAUCAUAGCCUUCAAUGCAGAGUCGCAUGCCACAGCCAACCAGCGCAACUCAGCCGGUUUCUCGUGCUAUAUUUUGGAUUUAAAAGACCAGCUUUUCAGACUUUGGUCUUCACAGAUCGUGCUUGAUGAAAAUAUUCAUUGGAAGCCUAAUCGUUCUCAUUACUAAGUUGUUGUCCAUAGCUGAGUAUUGAAUAAGUUCCUUCUAACAAGUUCCUUAUAUGUUGAGUUGUAGCUAUGUUGUCAAAUGCUAUUUGGGGCUUCUGCCUAGGUUAUCCUAGGCUGUCAGGCUUGUCUAAUUGCUUAAGCUAGUCAGCUUCAGGUGAAUUGUAAUUAUAGAUUUAGCAGUUAGCAUUUAUGAAAUGGUAAGGUUUUGCGUGCUCUAUGACUUUGAAAAGCAUUGACAUGAGGUUCCUACCACCACCAGUUCCAUUCUUUUCUUUGCUGAUGGUUCUUUGACAUGCAGAGAAUCAGUCUAAUGCCUUGUGCUUUUUUAUUUGAUAAAGCAAUCAGUGGUCUACAAGUAUGUUUCUGAGUAAAGAAAAGUAGGAGUUUCAAUUAAAAUGUCAAUCUGAAGGCUACUGAUAACUCACUGCAUGUUUUCUGAGGAAAUAGAAGAGGUUGAGGGAUGGUAAAAAUAUACAGCAAAGGCAGAGCUACCCCAGACUUUGUGGCGUAAAAAAUAUUAUGCCCUUUAAAAAAAUAUUAUGCUCUAUAACAGCUGCCUACUGUGAAAAAUUCUGUUUUCAUUUUCUGCAACAAAGAUGGAAGUUAAGGUCGGUACAGGAGCAGAAGUUGUGAAUUUGUCAGGUAACAGAUUAGGUUCAGUGACAAGGCAGUUGGCCGUCGAGGCAUAGGUGUUUUGAGACUGGAAGAAGCCCUUAAAAGCUUUAGUUCCUUGAGAAUUAAGGAGCAUGAAGAUGUCCAUGCGAAAGCUGGUCGUCCAGAGUGGUGGCCGGCAGAGUGGGGUCAUGAGCAGGAAUAAGACUCAGACGUUGUUUAUAGCUGUCCCUAGUUCUCAUCCUUUUUAUUUAACACCCUUCCCUUGUAAACUGAUGCUGUGAAUUGUGAAAGUUGGCGACCUCCCCAGCUAGCGCAUUGAUGGGCGUCACGGGUGGGAGAGAUGAAAGUUAAGAUAUCAAUUUUGUACCGUGAUCA